ACUUGCAGCUAGCUCUCUGCAACUCUCAUAUGGUUGCCCACUAAAGAUAAGCAGGGCUGUGCCUGGUCAGGACCUGGAUAGGAGACCACAUGGGAAAGCUAGGUUGCUGCCGGAA
rnacentral:rRNA from 1 species